AUGAUUACUGGCAUUGGCCACACCACUCCUGGCAAUCCUGUCGCUUUAUCAAAGCAUACUGCCAAGGACGAGCUUUCUGCUAUCGGCAAAGGCAAAUGGAACGCCGAUUUGUCAAGCUAUGCCCAUCUCAAUGCUCAAGACAUUCACUCUGGCUUCUUGAACCGUCUGUACACCAGUCGCGACUAUGAAGCCGGUUUGGUAAACUUGAUGAAAGAGCGAUACGAGGCUGAACUGAGCAAAAAAGAAACUCAAACAACUGAUCUGCAAGAAAACAUCAAGUCCCAGCAAGCCGAAAUCUCCAAAGCCAAGGAUGAGCUGACCAGCGCUUUAGCCCCUAUGGAAAAACUGAAGGAGAGUUUCAACAAAGAGCGGGCAGAUUGGGGCACAGAAAAAUCCGCUUUAUAG
rnacentral:rRNA from 1 species